GUACACGCUGUGACUAGCAUAUCAAUAAGCGGAGGAAAAGAAACUAACAAGGAUUCCCCUAGUAACGGCGAGUGAAGCGGGAAGAGCUCAAAUUUGAAAUCUUAAAGGGUUUCCCUUUACGAAUUGUAGUUUAAAGAAGUGUUUUCUGUUGAGGUUUUGGUAAAAGUUCUUUGGAAUAGGACAUCAUAGAGGGUGAGAAUCCCGUAUUUGACCUUUACUUUCAACUUUGUGAUACACUUUACAAAGAGUCGGAUUGUUUGGGAAUGCAGUCCAAAAUGGGUGGUAAAUUUCAUCUAAAGCUAAAUAUUGGCGAGAGACCGAUAGCGAACAAGUACCGUGAGGGAAAGAUGAAAAGAACUUUGAAAAGAGAGUUAAACAGUACGUGAAAUUGUCAAAAGGGAAGCGUUUGACACCAGUGUUGUUUUUCUGAAAAUCAAUUAAAGAACUGUUUAUGCUAAGUUGUUUAGACUUUAUCAGCUAAUCUGUUUAGUUUUGAGCUUUUCUUUAAUGCACUUUUCAGUUAACAAGUCAACAUCAAUUUCUUUUGCUGUAAAAAAGCUUGAGGAAGGUGGCUUGAGAUUCGUCUUAAGUGUUUAUAGCCUCUUGCCUAUGCAGUCGGAGAGAUUGAGGUCUGCAGCGUAGAUCCUUCGGGGCUAAAUGCAUUUGUGCUAAGUUAUAGCAUUUUAUAGACAGCUUGUUGACUAUGAUUUGUCUCGUAGCUUACUCGCUUAUGUUAUUUUACCUACGCUUAGGAUGUUGAUAUGCAUGACUGAUAU
rnacentral:rRNA from 1 species